AACGAACGCUGGCGGCAUGCCUAACACAUGCAAGUCGAACGAGACCUUCGGGUCUAGCGGCGCACGGGUGCGUAACGCGUGGGAACCUGCCCUUAGGUUCGGAAUAACUCCCCGAAAGGGGUGCUAAUACCGGAUAAUGUCUUCGGACCAAAGAUUUAUCGCCUUUGGAUGGGCCCGCGUUGGAUUAGCUAGUUGGUAGGGUAAAAGCCUACCAAGGCGACGAUCCAUAGCUGGUCUGAGAGGAUGAUCAGCCACACUGGGACUGAGACACGGCCCAGACUCCUACGGGAGGCAGCAGUAGGGAAUAUUGGACAAUGGGCGAAAGCCUGAUCCAGCAAUGCCGCGUGAGUGAUGAAGGCCUUAGGGUUGUAAAGCUCUUUUACCCGGGAUGAUAAUGACAGUACCGGGAGAAUAAGCUCCGGCUAACUCCGUG
rnacentral:rRNA from 1 species